AUUGAACGCUGGCGGCAUGCUUUACACAUGCAAGUCGAACGGUAACAGGCCGCAAGGUGCUGACGAGUGGCGAACGGGUGAGUAAUGCAUCGGAACGUGCCCAGUCGUGGGGGAUAACUACUCGAAAGAAUAGCUAAUACCGCAUACGAUCUAUGGAUGAAAGCGGGGGACCGUAAGGCCUCGCGCGAUUGGAGCGGCCGAUGUCAGAUUAGGUAGUUGGUGGGGUAAAGGCUCACCAAGCCAACGAUCUGUAGCUGGUCUGAGAGGACGACCAGCCACACUGGGACUGAGACACGGCCCAGACUCCUACGGGAGGCAGCAGUGGGGAAUUUUGGACAAUGGGCGCAAGCCUGAUCCAGCAAUGCCGCGUGCAGGAAGAAGGCCUUCGGGUUGUAAACUGCUUUUGUACGGAACGAAACGGCUCUGGUUAAUACCCGGGGCUAAUGACGGUACCGUAAGAAUAAGCACCGGCUAACUACGUG
rnacentral:rRNA from 1 species